rnacentral:rRNA from 1 species
AGCGGCAGAUGGGUGAGUAACACGUGGGGAACCUGCCCCUAAGUCUGGGAUACCAUUUGGAAACAGGUGCUAAUACCGGAUAAUAAAGCAGAUCGCAUGAUCAGCUUUUGAAAGGCAGCGUAAGCUGUCGCUAAGGGAUGGCCCCGCGGUGCAUUAGCUAGUUGGUAAGGUAACGGCUUACCAAGGCGACGAUGCAUAGCCGAGUUGAGAGACUGAUCGGCCACAUUGGGACUGAGACACGGCCCAAACUCCUACGGGAGGCAGCAGUAGGGAAUCUUCCACAAUGGACACAAGUCUGAUGGAGCAACGCCGCGUGAGUGAAGAAGGUUUUCGGAUCGUAAAGCUCUGUCGUUGGUGAAGAAGGAUAGAGGUAGUAACUGGCCUUUAUUUGACGGUAAUCAACCAGAAAGUCACGGCUAACUACGUGCCAGCAGCCGCGGUAAUACGUAGGUGGCAAGCGUUGUCCGGAUUUAUUGGGCGUAAAGCGAGCGCAGGCGGAAAAAUAUGUCUAAUGUGAAAGCCCUCGGCUUAACCGAGGAUCUGCAUCGGAAACUGUUUUUCUUGAGUGCAGAAGAGGAGAGUGGAACUCCAUGUGUAGCGGUGGAAUGCGUAGAUAUAUGGAAGAACACCAGUGGCGAAGGCGGCUCUCUGGUCUGCAACUGACGCUGAGGCUCGAAAGCAUGGGUAGCGAACAGGAUUAGAUACCCUGGUAGUCCAUGCCGUAAACGAUGAGUGCUAAGUGU